rnacentral:rRNA from 1 species
AUGGAAGGCCAAGUGCAGCAGUUUGUGACUCUUCGCUUUGGUGAACUUUGGCUUGAUGUGCCAAUUGGUCCUAUCAUGACCUCACUAAGUGAAAGUUGGAAGACUGCUGCUGCAUCUCCAGUUGUACCAGAUCAAGAAGAAGUCACUUCUCCACCAAUGGAGGGGUUCACACCUGUUUUGUCAAAGUCUACAAAGAGGAAAAUGAGGGCUGCUAGAAAGAGGGUUGCUCAGAGUUCUCCAAGAGGGGUUACUCAUGCUCCUGUGUCAGUAAUGAAAGGAAAGAUUGUUGAAGCUAGAAAGAGGGUUGCUCAGAGUUCUCCAAGAGGGGUUACUCAUGCUCCUGACAAGGGAAAGAAAGUGGUGUUUGAGAAAUCUGAGUUUCCGCCACUUGUUUACAAGGGAAAAGAGAAGAUGGUGGAGACACCCAACUCCAAGCUACAUGGGAAAAGAGGCGGCGUUGUGGUCAUAUUGUCUUCAGCGUCGUCUUCAGGAAGGCCCACCAACGCUCAGAAUAUACUUCGAGCCGAUGCUCCUGAGUUUGUCCCCUCACUGACCCAUAAACCUACACCGUCAGUUCCUCUGUUUGAAGAAGCACCCAUCUUACGAGAGUCCUUUGAAGGUUUGUUUGAUCCAGUGCGACAUCAACGGAGACAGAGAAAUGUAUGUCGAUCUUGGAUUAAUCUUCCAGCUGCCGUAGAUCAAGAUGCGGUGAGACGACACCGUUCUCAUGUGAGCAAGUCUGUCAAGGGGAGAUGGAAAAACACUCGUCCAAAGAUCCAAGUUCAGAAUCCAGAUGACUCGUCACAGCUUCCCGGGGCAUCCACAUCACAAAACGAUGAGGGUGGUGCCAUCAUGCGACUAGCGGAGGCCCUGGCCCAACGACCUAAGUACCAAGAGUUCAUUCAGCAACAUCCUGAACAUCAAGAAAAGGCGGCGUACAAAGAAAGAAAGAGGGCAGUACGUGCAAGGCAUGGGUCAAGCAGAGUCCAUGGGGCGGAACACAUUCCAUCGGAUGAGGACAGUCGGGCUAAAGUC